AUUGUUCAGAUAGCCAUGCACGUCUAGUACAAACUAAAUGAUGGUGAAACUGCAAAUGGCUCAUUACAACGGUUAUGAUGUACCCGGGAGUUCCGAUGGAUAUUUCCAGUAACACUAGAACUAAUACAUGUCCCUGCGUUUAUUAGUUUCGCACAGUCCGUCGCUGAGUCAUGGUAAACAGUUGAUCGACUCGACGUCCCGGAACAGUUUCCGCCCCAUCAGCUUCGAUGGUUGGGUAUUGGCCUACCAUUGCAACAACGGGUAACGAGGAAUUAGGGUUUGAUUUCGGAGAGGGAGCCUGAGAAACGGCUACCACAUCUACGGAUGGCAGCAGGCGCGCAAAUUACCCAAUGCAGACACUGUGAGGUAGUGACGAGAAAUAAUAAAGCGGGACUUCUGUUUCGCUAUUAUAAUGAGGAAUAACCAAAGGUCAUUCCGAUUAGCAACUGAUGGGAAAGUCUGGUGCCAGCAGCCGCGGUAAUACCAGCGUCAGUAGCAUA
rnacentral:rRNA from 1 species